ensembl:processed_transcript Gm10030 predicted gene 10030
AAUCUUCCGUGUCUGUUGAGUGAUGUUCUGAGGUAAAUAACCACUCAUAAGCUUGGGUUGUGAAAUUCCCAGAGGCAAGCUCAUUACCAGAUGUGGUCCACAGAGAGAAGAGCCUCAGCCUGGCUCUGAGUCCACAUGCAAGGAAGGGGGACCAUGCACAGAAGAGGAGACGGAAGAUGCCUGGUGGGACAAUGUAGGAGGUUUCCUCCCUGGUUUCAGAGCAGGCUGCUGCAGGAAGGAGGCAGACAUGCCCUCAUUGCUCUACUUACAAAUGUCAUCCCUUAUGCCUCUUCUGUUGCUGUGGUGAGGGUAUAACCUCAUCACCUAUGGUGGAAAGUUUAUGCUUUCUUGUGUGCUGCCUUGAAGGCAGGGACUGAGUCUGACUCACGACAGUGGCUCCAAUACCUGUCAGAAACCUGCCUUACUUAUCAUCUAAUGUAAGUGUGUGUUCAUGUGUGUACAUGUGCACAUGGAGGGUAGAGAUCAGCCUCAAGUGUCGUUUCCCAGUCCAAUUUAUUUUUGGAGACAGCAUCUUUAUCUUUCACUGGCCUAGAGCUUGCCUGGUAGGCUAGACUGGCCAACCAGUGAGCCCUCCUGACUCAUCUCCCCAGUGCUGGGACUACAAACAUGCCACCAUGCCCAGACUUAUUUCUUUCCAUAUGGAGUUGGAGAUCAAACUCAGGCCUCCACACUUGCGAGGUAAGCACUUGAGUAACUGAGCCGUCUCAUCAGACUAGGAUGUUCUUUAUUGAAGGGCACCCUUGAUGCAAAUCAGGAAGCCCAAAGAAAGCAGC